CCUACGGGAGGCAGCAGUGAGGAAUAUUGGUCAAUGGACGAGAGUCUGAACCAGCCAAGUAGCGUGAAGGAUGACUGCCCUAUGGGUUGUAAACUUCUUUUAUAUGGGAAUAAAAUGUUCCACGUGUGGGUUUUUGUAUGUACCAUAUGAAUAAGGAUCGGCUAACUCCGUGCCAGCAGCCGCGGUAAUACGGAGGAUCCGAGCGUUAUCCGGAUUUAUUGGGUUUAAAGGGAGCGUAGGUGGAUUGUUAAGUCAGUUGUGAAAGUUUGCGGCUCAACCGUAAAAUUGCAGUUGACACUGGCAGUCUUGAGUACAGUAGAGGUGGGCGGAAUUCGUGGUGUAGCGGUGAAAUGCUUAGAUAUCACGAAGAACUCCGAUUGCGAAGGCAGCUCACUGGACUGCAACUGACACUGAGGCUCGAAAGUGUGGGUAUCAAACAGGAUUAGAUACCCGUGUAGUC
rnacentral:rRNA from 1 species